GGCAGCCGCGAGACAGAGGCAGGGGGUUGGCCGCUGUCACCCAAUCAGCGGCAGGGGGCAGGCCUCUUGAUUUCUCCACAGCCAAUCCUACAACAGUUUCCCCUUUGAAAGGCCAAUGAGAUUCGUGGUCAAGGCGACACCACGCCUUCUCAGCCCACCAACAUGCACUCUACACAACUAAUGUAGAGGAUGGGCUGAGUUCCCAGGACCCAGCGUGUAAGUCACAGAAGCCAUCACACAAUGUCCCCCUUCGAAAUUAUCCUUCCUUUUUCUUUGAAUAUCAAAAGAAAUGGGAAGUCGAAAUUGAAGGUCUACAGAAUUCAGUCUGGCAGAAUGAAUUUUGGGGAGACCACCUGGAAGGAUCCCACAGUAAAUUUCAUCUCCAGAUACAGAACAUCUUUGUAUUGUACUCCCUGACUCCAGACUUGCCUGUCAUGAAACUUGAUGGCAGGAUUCUAAGAUGACCUCCAGGAUCCCUACUCCCUGUACAAUCCUUAGGACUGUGAAGAUGAUGGAUUUUACUGCUGUGGUUAAGUUAUAUGUAGCACAUUCGACUUGAAGAAAGGGAGGUUAUUCUGGGAAUAUGUAGCAGUACAAAGUGCUAACGUCGUGUGGAUUUGAACCCCCAUCCUCGAGAGCAAAAGAAGGCUGGGGAUUGCCAAAUGUCAACUCAGCUAGCUUUCAGCCCUUUAAAGGCAGAGGAGAGCAAAGUCCGAGCAGAGGAGCACUCAUGGCCAGCCAGGGACUGAUAAUGGAUUGCAGCUGGCCAAGGAAAACAGCAGAACAAGCCACAGGUGUCUGCAUCCAGCCAGCUGGGUCAGGGCAUCACAGGAAGUGCAAGGGAGGGAAGGGAGCCCUUGCAGCAGCUUCCUGUUUGAUGCUUACUAGAGCCUGGACUGGCAAUGCAUGUGGGUGAGCCUUCCCAGCUGUGGCCCACCAUAGGGCAAGGUGGGGACUGUGGCUCAACUGGGAGGCCACCCUACUGAGCACCACCAUCUGCCGUAGCACAGAAAUGCAGACCCUGAUGCCAGAGCUCUUAAUAUUUCCAUAGAAGUCAGAUAUCUGUAUUUUUGUGUAAAAUCUCUUGAAUUUUAAGCGUUGUCAACUAAUUAACAUUUUCCACAAUGCUACAGAGCGUAUGCUUACCUUGCAAUAUUGUAUAACAAUACCAUA